CGGGGUGUAGCUCAGUUUGGUUAGAGCGCAACGCUGGGGGUGUUGAGGUCGCAGGUUCGAAUCCUGUCACCCCGA
rnacentral:tRNA from 1 species